rnacentral:rRNA from 1 species
AUACGGAGGGUCCAAGCGUUAUACGGAUUCAUUGGGUUUAAAGGGUCCGCAGGCGGGAAAAUAAGUCAGUGGUGAAAGCCUACAGCUCAACUGUAGAACUGCCAUUGAUACUGUUUUUCUUGAGUAUAGAUGAAGUGGGCGGAAUAUAUCAUGUAGCGGUGAAAUGCAUAGAUAUGAUAUAGAACACCGAUUGCGAAGGCAGCUCACUAAACUAUUACUGACGCUCAGGGACGAAAGCGUGGGGAGCGAACAGGAGUAGAAACCCUAGUAGUCC